rnacentral:tRNA from 1 species
ACCUGGGUGGCUCAGUUGGUUAAGCAUCUGACUUCAGCUCAGGUCACGGCCUCACGUGGGUUCAAGCCCCAUGUCGGGUU